rnacentral:rRNA from 1 species
UACGUAGGGUGCGAGCGUUAAUCGGAAUUACUGGGCGUAAAGCGUGCGCAGGCGGUUCGUUGUGUCGGCGGUGAAAGCCCCGGGCUCAACCUGGGAACUGCAUCUGUGACUGCAUCGCUGGAGUGCGGCAGAGGGGGAUGGAAUUCCGCGUGUAGCAGUGAAAUGCGUAGAUAUGCGGAGGAACACCGAUGGCGAAGGCAAUCCCCUGGGCCUGCACUGACGCUCAUGCACGAAAGCGUGGGGAGCAAACAGG